AGUUGGCAGAUUUGGAGAGGAGGUGGAUGGAUUUCAAACCCCACCGUCUCCAAUCCUGCUUCUUUCAACCCCCUUUUGGCAGCUGCAGCUUGGAGGGCAAACAGCAGACACGCUUGGAGCACCCACGACGCCCACUUGCAGCCACUUGUGAGCAAUUAAAAGAGGCCUGGAGACGCUAAUUAUUGCAGCUGCCAGCUCAAAUAGCGGGGUGAGAGCUCCCUGCUGCCAGCUGGGGAUGGGGACAGGGAUGCUCAGCCACAGCCACCGACCUCCCUGCAAAGCAAGGCUGAGAAUAAAAGGCUGGCUGCACAAUGGGGCACGACGACAUCAGCAGCCUUUCAGCAACUUGAUUUGGGCUGCGAGCGAGAGCAGUGGUGAAUGAUGUGCGGCGGAGAAAGUGCUUUAGUUGCCUACAAAGCGCUGUAUGAAUUUAACACGAGCAGCAGCUAAUGCGAAUAAAACUCAGAAAAAGAUUCCUCGCCACGAUAACACGGCCUUCCCUUCCCCGGAGGAGUUCGGAGCACUUUGCAAGCAUCCAUUAAUUAAGCCUCAAAGGAGAUCGCAUCCCCGGUUUUACAGCCGGGGUGAGUUGAAGUGCUUUGCUCUAGUGCAACGCGCGUGGCAUGGGGAUGCACCAGAGCCAGGAGCCGAGCUCUCCCCACCUUGUUCCCUCCGUCUGCUGCUAAUUCAGCCUCAGGCCCGAGGAGUUUUCAGCUUCACAUCUCCAGACCUUGUCAGGCUGCUCAGAGGCUGAUGCCCCACAUCCUUCUUGGGGUGUUUCCAGCCCUGGUGUCACCAGGGGGCUCACCGCGAUGCCCCUCCGUGCUGCAUGGAGGCGAUUCAUUCCCAAGCACCUCUCUGCUAUUUCUUCUUCUAUUUUUUUUUUUAAGCUUUUAUACAUUUUCAGGGGGAUCUGCAACAAAACAGCUUCGUCUAUAAAUACGCGUUCAAUGCCACGACUUUGUACAGGUGACCUGCUCCGCAUUGUGCGCGGUGACUCCUGCAAAUAGGUUUGCUGGGGGGAAGUAGAGAGAAAAUCCACGGAAAUCAGAUGUGUCAACGUGCUGCUGAGCCUGGUGCUUAGCAUCAGUGCCCCCCGCACCUGAAACUCUUGGGUGUGUUUGUUUUAUGGUGGUGUCCAUGAGGGCACCUGCUUGUGCAUUACCUAUUUUAACUUAAAUGCGUGCAGAGAGAAUAAAAAUGGCCCAAGGCCAAGCCAAGAGGCUGAGGAAGAGGCCAGCCAUGGAAGCAAGAGAUAAUGCACAGGACGGGUGUUAUCACUUGUAGCCCUGCUCAGAAACAUGCCCCGUGCAUUGGCACAUCCGCGCCCUGCGCCAUCUGUCUGUAUUUAUCACACACUGCUUGGAUCGCCGCGCUCGCUCCCCUCAUCCCGGCACACGUGUUGCAGGAACUCGCCUCGGUCUGUUAGGAUAAUUUAAUGUAAAAACCGAUGGAGAUGGUGGCUUUCGAGUGGAGCACUGCGUAAGUCCGGCGUUCGGGUCCAAAAAAAUGAAAUUGCAAACCCUGGAGGGAUGCUUGAAACACAAACCUGCCUCUAGAUCCAAAGCCCAGGUCCGUUUGCUUUUGAAAUCUGUCAUUUGGAAGCUGGGCCCUGAUUUCUGAGUGUUGAGCAUCCAAGUGAAAUUCAGCUGCAAGCACAGCUCUUGCUUGAAUUUAAACAACCCCCCAAGCCCCUCGGAGCUGGGCGGCCAAAAGCACUCGGCGGCAGCCAUUCCUCCUGCUGCUUGCUGUAAUUAAGCUCUAGAAAUGUAGGCUCGGCAGAUAUUUAUUUUGUUUCCCAGCCUUUUCCUGCUGAAAUCACAUCCUGAGUUCUUCCACCUUUCCCACCGGCGACUGAGCCGCUCGGGCUCUCUCCAGAGGAGUCAGCAGGGAGAUGGUGAGCAUCCGGCUCUCCUCCUUCAGUCAUCCCCCUGCUUAUUAACACACUUGGCUCUGAGGGUGAGUUUUCCUUCUUGGAGCCCUCAGGAGCUAUUGCCGGGGCUGUUAAUGGAGCUGAAAGGUCUCUGGGGUGUUCCCUGGAAACACGCGGCUCCUUCCUGCUGCACGGGGGCCUCCAAGCAGCCGCCAGCAGGCAGAUGGAGUCGGUCUGUUCCCUGCAAGAGGAGGUUAUUUCUCCUUUCUAAUAAGUGCAAGUUUGGGGCAGAAUUGAUAGAUAUAUUUACAUUUUGAUUUAUAUCCAUUUAUAAUCCAAAGGCACAACGACGAGGCAGAAGAGGCCCCUUGGAAGCUUUGGCUGUAGCCUGUGGCCGGGUGAAGGAGGAAGGAAAUUGAUGGCAGAGAGGAGCAGGAGCCUCCAGUGGCAGGGAAGUGAUGCUGCUGGUACCACAGUCAUCACGGAGGAGGUUGUCAUGGUGACUCGAGGUGUCAGGAGACGGCUCCGGAGCCCGCUGUGCCGGGAGCAGGGGAGCGAGACAGUCGUGGAGAGGGGCGAGGAGGGGAGAGCAUCCGAAGGAGCGCAGAGAGGAAAAGGCAAGGGGCUGGGGGAGGGAUGGAGAAGAGUCGCAUUCAGCUGGGAGGUUUGCACUUGAUUCUCUUCCCGUUGUGCCUCCAGGAUGAGACACGGAGAGCAGUGGCCGUGGCUCCCCGUGGUUCUGCGCCCCAGUGCCCUUCGCCGUGGCCCCAUGCCCACUGCUGCUCCCCCCGAGCAUGCAAUGGGGAUGCUGGUUCGCACCCAAAGUGCUUCAGCUCUCUGCAGCCCCCCCUCGCAGGCAGAUCUUUGUAGGGACGUGCCGCCGAGCCCCCUCCGUGCCCCCUUCCACCAGCUCUAAAUCUGCAAAGCAAACCCCAGCGAGAGCACUUUCCAAAGGCUGCCGGCGAUGACAGAUGUUAUUUUAUGGAACACGGCACCAGAGAUGUGAAAUACAUAGUUCAUAAAUGUCAGGAGGAAGGAAGCAAUAUCCUGGAUUGAGGUCGUUUGGCUUUUUUUUCCUCUCUUGUGAAAGCAUCCUUCCAAGUAAACAGCCAUCCCCACCUGCAGGGAGAAGCGGGGUGCCUUGGAGAAGACGGCGGCACCCGGGGGAGACAUGGCUGGAGGUGCAGCUCAGCCCAAGGUGAGCGGGACCUUUUUGAACCCCACAUCUGAGUUUUUGGCUGAGAAAGAGUCCGGGGAUGGAGCUGAGACCUUCCUUCACCGAGUUCUCCAGGGAGGAGAGCAUUGCACGUGUGCAUCUGUAGGAAGAGGAUAUAGAUGUGUGUUUCUAUAUAUAUUUAAUUUGUACGCACAUAAGGAGCUGCAAUUAAUUAUGAUUAGUAACAAGCCAGCAGGGUUUCCACCAUCCCCCAAAUAUCUGACUCUCAAUGCCAGCUUCCAGGCCUCUGGAUGCUCUCAUGGUCUGCGUGUGCCCGUGCUCAGCUUCGUUCAUGCCCGGCCCUCCCGAGCACCCCGAGGCAAUGAGCUCCCUGAGCAAGCAGUGCCCCUGCCCCUGCCCCUGCCAGGCAGGCUAUUUCCAGAACCAGAGUUGACAAAUCCCCCCCUGAAGCCAGCAGUUUUUAAUACAAGUGUCAGAAAGCGUUACCGAAAUGCCGGAGCGGCUCGGGGAGGUGCUGGGGAGGGCAUGGGGACAGCCUGAUGUCAGUCACAUCUGCCCGCUUGUCUUUGCCGAGCAUCCCCUGCCUGCUGAGAUGCGUUUCCAGCCCGGCACGCUCUGAAGUGAGCAGAUGUGGCAUUUAAAGCUAAUCCCCAGCGACCGGCUCCCUGCGGCUCCCCGCGCCGUCACGUCUGCUCUGGCCGGGGCUGCGCUGGGUGCUGGCUGCUGCACCGUGCCCAUUUCCCCUUCCUCGUGGUCAGGAAGGUGUGAGAUGCCACGGGGAGGGCGCUUGGGGCUGGCAUUAGCAGGGGACAAAGCUGGGGUUGUUUUGGGGUAAUGCUCCAACCCAAACCAUUCCCCUGCUCCGUGGGGGCUGAACACGCAGCAAGCUUGCACAAACCCAGCAGGCAGCUCCCGUCCCUUCUCCUUCCUCUUGGCUUCAGAUGUUGCACCCCCGUGAUUUUGGGGUGCCGGUGGCACUGCGCAAAACUGCGGGGAAAUGUCAAUUUUUUUUGUUUCGAAGGAGGGAGGAAAAAUCUUAAAUUUCCCUGUGUUCUCUCAGCAAAGCUACUUUUGUCUGGAAAAUAGGCCAAUUUCCACCUUAUCUAAUGCCUCCAGCUGUGAUGUGAAAGGCUCGGAGGAAAAACCGCAUCUCUCACGUUAUCUCCUCACUGCAAAGUUUAAUUAUCCUCAGCUGUUCCGCCGAAAUGUGCCCGUGUCCGGGCUCCAGGAGCUGUCUUUCCCCUACAAACCUCUGGGAGAAAAGCAUUCAUCCAGCACAGCCCCGUUCCCAUCUCCUCUAUGUGCGCCCUUUGUGGGUAUGCCAAAACCGGGCAGGAAAA